rnacentral:piRNA from 1 species
UGUUGGUGUUCAAAACCACAAAAGGGUUC